UCAGUGUUAUCUUUUGUUGCUUCUGGAGUUUGAAUGCUUAAAGCCCAUCUCCAUUCCUUGAUUAUAAGAUUCAACGAAGACAACCAGACGGCUCUGUGUGGUGUUUUGAGAGCAGCCCAUUGAAGCUCUUCUGCAGAAAUCUUAGGAAAAAACAAGAAAGGGAGUGUAACAGAAGUAAUCAGCUUAGAC